CAGGAGAAAAGGUUUUAUCCUUAAUACCAGACGGUAAAAUCCAAACUACUUUUUCAGGACAACCCUUGGAGGAGAAGUGGGAAGGACCUUAUCAAGUCUUACUGACGACUUUCACUGCUAUCAGGAUCAAAGAACAGCCUGCCUGGAUCCACUAUUCGAGAGUGAAGAAAGCACCC